CACGUAGGGUGCGAGCGUUGUCCGGAAUUAUUGGGCGUAAAGAGCUCGUAGGCGGUGUGUCGCGUCGGCUGUGAAAACCUGAGGCUCAACCUCGGGCCUGCAGUCGAUACGGGCAAACUAGAGUUCGGUAGGGGAGACUGGAAUUCCUGGUGUAGCGGUGGAAUGCGCAGAUAUCAGGAGGAACACCGGUGGCGAAGGCGGGUCUCUGGGCCGACAUUGACGCUGAGGAGCGAAAGCGUGGGGAGCGAACAGG
rnacentral:rRNA from 1 species